AAAAAACAACGCCCCUAACCCAGAGAUAUGGAGAAGGAGAAUGAGCUUCGACUUCUGCGCAUCGGUACACUAUGGGGGCCGCCAUUUUAUCAGUUAACCUUAAAGUUUUGUUUACCUACGAGGUUACGACGUUGUUGAACCAGUUGUAAUUUGGAGUUAAAGUUAUUAUUUAAUUUGUUUUACCGUUAGUGUACGUGUGAACGUGCUUAUUAGUGUUAAAGGACAUUAUUAUUGACAACAAACAUGUCUUGUACAGUUUCUCACUGUAAAAAUUGUCAACGAUUUCGUUCAGAAGGUAUAUCUUUUCAUCAGUUUCCGAAAGAUCGAAAACUUUUAAAAAAGUGGCUGAUUGUUGUGAAAAAAGAUGACAGCUUCAAACUGACUAAGUAUAAGCUGGUGUGCUCAGAUCAUUUCACAACAGAUUUCAUUGUUGUAAAUGAGUGAAAACGAUUGAAAUCGAACGCAAUUCCCAGUGUGAAUUUAGAUGAAAGUCUAGAAGCUUCUUCAACUUCAAUGAGUACUGUGAGUGCUACUUCAGCUGAUAUUUGAGAAGAGUCUCCAUCGAUUAUACCUCAAGGUGUAAAGAGGACAUUAAGUGCUGCGCAGAGAUACCAUGGAAAAAGCAGUAGCAGUACAAGUGGAAGUAAAAGCAAGAACUCAAAAAGUAGUUCUGACAGGAGGGAAGGUGAUAAGCUGGCGUUACAUAAAGAAACUACAUGAAUUACAAAAUGAUGAAUUCCUAAAUGUUGCAAACAAGUUGAAAAAGGCAGAUUUGGAGUGAUGGAAACAUAAAAUGAAAGUUGUUGUUUUCCUGACAAUAUUCCUUAUUGACAAUAAUUAAGUUCUAUUAUAGGUGAGUUUAGCAGCACAAACUCUUAGCAAGAGUUGCGGAUGCACUUGAAUUUUUAAAAGAUCUUGGUAUUAGUGACUUUCAAGGUUGUGAAACAACAAUAGAAUUCAUCAGAAGGAUAGAUUCUUUAUUUGAUAUUCUCAAUUCCCGAAGUGUAUGUGCUAAGAAUUUUAAGGCACCUUUGAGAGAAAACAAUGAAGAAAUGUGGCGUCCAUUUCUCAUAGACACCAGUGAGUAUCUUCUGAAUUUGAAGGAUGUCACUGGCGGGCCUUUGUGGUGCACGCCCCGAAAAACGUCAAUUCUGGGCUUUGUUAUUUCCGCUACGUCGUUAAUGGGAAUUUUUGAUGAAUUUGUUAGUAGUAAGAGGUUGAAUGACUUGCUAACAUAAAUGUAGUCAAGAUCAUCUAGAAAUUUUCUUCUGCUCAGUGCGAUCGAGAAAUGGGUGAAACAAUAACCCUACUCCUCUACGAUUUUGUAAAACUUUUAGAAGAUUGCUUCUAUUUACAAACAUAACGAGGGAAGGAGGAAAUUGUAAAGUGCUUUGCACCACCUGUCUGCUCUCUGUUAGCAUUGGCCCAAAGCAAAAGAGCACAAAUGUUCAACAAUCAGUUGACGUGUUUGUCUUGAAAAAAUAUGAUCUCGAUAUUUUGACGGAAGCACUUGCAGAUCAUGACUAUGAACGUCUAAUUUUAUUGGGCUGAGUGAAGUGGCAGAAAACGUGGCAUAUAUUGGUAGCUAUGUUGUCAAAAUGCUGAUGAAGACGUUUAAGUGCGCAGACUGCAUUUCUUCUUGCAUUGAAACACGAGGAAGUGACACAGUUUUACAGAUUAUUGGACAAAAAAAACAUGGGUGGGCUUAUUAAACCUUUUGCUGGGGUUGUGAAGACUUGUUGUUACUGUUAAUACGAAAAAUUUUGCAACUCACCGAUAAACUUCCAAGCGAUGAACAAUUUUUUAAAACUUUCGGCAUGCCAGCAUUCUUUUUCCUAAUUUAGAAGACCCACGCACUCGAGACGGUGGCCAUCGAUGAAGGCCAUUUAUAUAUUCUUAUUAAACAAAUAAUUAAUGCCUACAUGCGAAUAAGAAUGUUUAAUUUGAGCAAAAGACUUUCAUGUCUUGCUCAAGGCACUUCUGUUAGACAUGUGUACACAUAAUUAGUACUGUUUUCGCAUCAAUAAAUAUAUUGAAGUAUAA